GGGGAAUUUUGGACAAUGGGCGCAAGCCUGAUCCAGCCAUUCCGCGUGAGUGAAGAAGGCCUUCGGGUUGUAAAGCUCUUUCGGCAGGGAAGAAACGGCCAUGGCUAAUAUCCGUGGCUAAUGACGGUACCUGAAGAAGAAGCACCGGCUAACUACGUGCCAGCAGCCGCGGUAAUACGUAGGGUGCGAGCGUUAAUCGGAAUUACUGGGCGUAAAGCGUGCGCAGGCGGUUUUGUAAGACAGAUGUGAAAUCCCCGGGCUCAACCUGGGAACUGCGUUUGCGACUGCAAGACUCGAGUACGGCAGAGGGGGGUGGAAUUCCACGUGUAGCAGUGAAAUGCGUAGAGAUGUGGAGGAACACCGAUGGCGAAGGCAGCCCCCUGGGUCGAUACUGACGCUCAUGCACGAAAGCGUGGGGAGCAAAC
rnacentral:rRNA from 1 species